UUCCUACGGGGCGCAGCAGUGGGGAAUAUUGGGCAAUGGACGCAAGUCUGACCCAGCAACGCCGCGUGAAGGAAGAAGGCUUUCGGGUUGUAAACUUCUUUUAAGGGGGAAGAGCAGAAGACGGUACCCCUUGAAUAAGCCACGGCUAACUACGUGCCAGCAGCCGCGGUAAUACGUAGGUGGCAAGCGUUGUCCGGAUUUACUGGGUGUAAAGGGCGUGUAGGCGGGACUGCAAGUCAGAUGUGAAACCCAUGGGCUCAACCCAUGGCCUGCCUUUGAAACUGUAGUUCUUGAGUGAAGGAGAG
rnacentral:rRNA from 1 species